rnacentral:rRNA from 1 species
UACAGAGGGGGCAAGCGUUGUUCGGAAUUACUGGGCGUAAAGGGCGCGUAGGCGGCCUGCUAAGUCGAACGUGAAAUCCCUGGGCUCAACCCAGGAACUGCGUCCGAUACUGGUUGGCUUGAAUCCGGGAGAGGAAUGCGGAAUUCCAGGUGUAGCGGUGAAAUGCGUAGAUAUCUGGAGGAACACCGGUGGCGAAGGCGGCUCACUGGCCCGGUACUGACGCUGAGGUGCGAAAGCGUGGGGAGCAACAGG